GAGCUGAGGUCAGGGAGGUAAAGAAACUUUACCAUACAGCAAAUGUAUGAGAGCAGAGCUGAGGCUCACAAACAGAAGUGCCUGACUCCAAAGAACCUCAUCUUACCUACUAAGUCCUUCAUGUGAGCACACAGAGGAGAGAACCAGCAACCCCUGU
rnacentral:lncRNA from 1 species